rnacentral:rRNA from 1 species
UACGUAGGGUGCGAGCGUUGUCCGGAAUUAUUGGGCGUAAAGAGCUCGUAGGCGGUCUGUCGCGUCUGCUGUGAAAUCCCGAGGCUCAACCUCGGGCCUGCAGUGGGUACGGGCAGACUAGAGUGCGGUAGGGGAGACUGGAAUUUCUGGUGUAGCGGUGAAAUGCGCAGAUAUCAGGAGGAACACCAGUGGCGAAGGCGACACGCUGGGCCAUACCUGACGCUAAAGCGCGACAGCAUGGGGAGCAAACGGGG